GGCAUACCCCAAGAAUGCCAAGUUUGUUUUGAAAGAAACAUUGGAUCUGAUAUGAAGCUCCAGAUCUCUGAAAUUCACAUGCUCCAAGUUUAAGCAUUGAAUCUUUAAACUUGUUUUACUUCAAUUCCCAAGUCUUGAAAGCCCCAAGUCUUGAAACACUAGUUUAACUAUCAUCCCAGAAUCUGCUUAAAGCUUCAAAUUUUCUGAAGCAAUGGCCGCCGUCGAAGUGCACCGUUUUGCUGAGUGCAUCACUUGCCAUGCUUGGAGCCCUGAUCGCUCAAUGCUGGCAUUUUGCCCAAAUAACAAUGAAGUUCACAUCUAUACACUGAUGCAAUCCAAAUGGGAAAAGCUGCAUGUUCUCCAGAAGUUUUAAUUUGGGGGUCUGUUUUGCAUUUUCAACCUCCACACUUGAUGAGGAAUUGAUGAUACAGUUCCCUGCAUGAAGGAUAUUAUUAGUCAAAGUCUCAUCGAAAAGCUAGCAAUAUUGUGGGUGGUGUGGAUGGAGAACAAUAGGAUUAUAGGAGGAUUAUUGAGGGAGGAAGGGAUGAAGAGGCGGGAGGAGGGGAGUGCGGCUGUGCUGGUCGGCGCCGUCGUUGUGCGUCGCCGGUAGCC